CGAAUUAAUUUGGUCUAUUAUGUUUCGCGAAAUUGGCCUUCAUGACAUUAAGAGAGUACAUUCUGCGUAUCAAAAGAAACCUAUUUAUGUAUUGUUAUUUUGAAUGUUUUUAGAAUAUUUGUGAUUAAUUCAUCAACUUUUUUAAAAUGUUGAUUGACUUUUACACUCGCGUGACUUUGACGCUGCAUAACCAUUAGUGAGAGAGUUGAUUGGGCACAGGUGUAGAAGUAUUUUAACCGUUUAACAAAUCAAAGAAAGAAAAACAGACAGGAACAAAAGUAUUUCCCGACGGUAAAACAAGGAGGUACUGUAAUAGGAGAGACAUACUGUAGUUUUUCAGGUGCCUGCUUUAUUUGAAGAGCCUAUACACAGCUUAGAGAUACCCUUGUGAUAGGAGAUGUACAUUCUGCAUGCAAGAGCUCCACAUGUCCUGUUACCCCAUGUACUGUAUUUACCCAGAGGGAGUUGUGCUGAGGGAAAGGGUCGUGCAAGACUGAGCAAAGGCCUUGAAAGAUACAGUAACUAUCAUCUUUGGAACACCCGGGGGCAGGGGUGCCUUUACAGGAUCUUUGAAUGGGAAAGUCUCAGGAAAAACAGACGAGAAGCCAUAAAGUAAGGUAGAAACAGUGCUUUUUUAUAUGCUGUUUAAAGAAACAAAAACAGUGUGUUUAAAACAAAACAGCUUAGCUCUUAUUUGAGCUCUGAAUAAAUAACGUCUUGUAUUGUUUAUAAAUAAGGCUGUGGACCUAAUGCGCUUGCUAGCUUUACGAUAAAGUCUCUCAAAACUUCUCCAAAGCAUUCUUACAAACACCAAACUCAGUUGGUUUCUUCCCUCUGUGCUUCCUUCUCCCUAUGGUGCAACACAUAACGGUGCUUUUGCAAGCACCCCGC
rnacentral:lncRNA from 1 species